GCUACCGGGUCUCUGCCAUCUCCCCUCCUGCUGCCGGGCUUCCCCUGCUCUUCAAAGGGGCAUUCAAGCCCAUUCUGGGGCUGUUCCAGCCCUUCCUCCAGUGGUGAUGGCCAUUUUGGAGGUCGCCGCACAUUUGCCCUGGAGGCUCUUUGAAGAACGGGGGAAGGCCACUGGGGGGAGGGGGAGAUGGCAGAGAUCCCCCUGCAGCAGCACCCCUGGACCUGGCAUAAAACCCCAGUCUGGGAAACCGCCUGCUUAUUACUCCCUCAGUCCUAUUGUCUGCCCCCAGAUGCGUCUGCUAUACUGAGAGGGGCAGAUAACAGAAAAAGCAAAGAGACAGAAUGAGUGUCAAGGCAUUUAAAGAUGCUAAUGAGGAUGCUGGCCUUGAGGUUAACGAGACUGGAACUGAGUGCACAGACUGCUUGUACUUCUCCAAGGCAGAACCUAAUUUCCCUCAUACUAGAAUUUUGCCAAAUUAACUAAUUAUUAAAUUAUAUUGC